rnacentral:rRNA from 1 species
CGGCGGCUCGAGUGGUAACCGUUAUUAUUGGGUCUAAAGGGUCUGUAGCCGGCCGGAUAAGUCUCUUGAGAAAUCCAGCAGCUCAACUGUUGGGCUUUCAGGAGAUACUGUUCGGCUCGAGGCCGGGAGAGGUGAGAGGUACUUCAGGGGUAGGGGUGAAAUCUUGUAAUCCUUGAAGGACCACCAGUGGCGAAGGCGUCUCACCAGAACGGACCUGACGGCAAGGGACGAAAGCUAGGGGCACGAACCGGAUUAGAUACCCGGGUAGUCCUAGCCGUAAACGAUACUCGCUAGGUGUCGGCCACGGUGCGACCGUUGUCGGUGCCGUAGGGAAGCCGUGAAGCGAGCCACCUGGGAAGUACGGCCGCAAGGCUGAAACUUAAAGGAAUUGGCGGGGGAGCACCACAACGGGUGGAGCUUGCGGUUUAAUUGGAUUCAACGCCGGAAAUCUUACCGGGACCGACAGCAAUAUGAAGGCCAGGCUGAAGACUUUGCCGGAUUAGCUGAGAGGUGGUGCAUGGCCGUCGUCAGUUCGUACUGUGAAGCAUCCUGUUAAGUCAGGCAACGAGCGAGACCCACGCCCACAGUUGCCAGCGUACUCUCCGGAGUGACGGGUACACUGUGGGGACCGCCGCUGCUAAAGCGGAGGAAGGAAUGGGCAACGGUAGGUCAGUAUGCCCCGAAUAUCCCGGGCUACACGCGAGCUACAAUGGUCGGUACAAUGGGUAUCUACCCCGAAAGGGGAUGGAAAUCUCCUAAAGCCAAUCUUAGUUCGGAUUGAGGGCUGCAACUCGCCCUCAUGAAGCUGGAAUCCGUAGUAAUCGCGUUUCAACAGAACGCGGUGAAUACGUCCCUGCUCCUU